rnacentral:rRNA from 1 species
UCUCAAUCAAACCCGAAUGAACAAGAUGUUGAAUUGAAUCGUACCAGUCUAUACUGGGGUUUAUUACACCUUUAUGUACUUGUUAUUUUAUUUCCAAUUACUUAUUCAACUGAGAGAAAGAAAGAGACUAAUAAGAAUUCCGAUAUCCCAUUUGGAAGGAUACCAUGCUUAUAA